UCCCGCCGCUGCUGCAGGAAUCUCGGCUGCCCAAAGCCCGCUCGGCUCUGCGUUUCACGGGGCUGAGCUGAGCCGAGCUGAGCUGAGCUGAGCCGGGCCAGGCCGGGCCAGGCUGGGCGGGGAGCGAGGUGGCCCAGCAUCUGAGAACGCCUCUGUGAAGGAGUCAAGUGGCCUUUCCCAACUGGACGGUGAGGGCAUGACCAGCUGCUGCCAUCAGUCACCAUACAGGGACAGGACUCCAACCAGAUAUGCAGCCUGCAGGACCCCUGUAAGGGUCACGAUGAUCAGCCAGAGGUCCACCCCACCCUGCUUCCUGAGUCAAGCACUGCUGUUCCCAGAACCAGCUGAGUCGAUGCUCUGAUUCAAGUCUGCCCUGGUGCCACCAGCCAAGUCCAGAGUGUGAGUCCUGCUCUUUGGCACAUGCGCCAUGAGUCACAGUACCAGCUCCAGGCUGGCUGAUUCUCCACAGCUCUCCAAGAGCAGCCUCUUGAACAUCUUGGGCAGCCCUUCACCUGAGCGGAUGGGCCUAGCUGACUCUCUGCCACCCACCCCACAGAGCGGGACUCCAUCUCCCGGGCCCCCCCCACUGCCCCUGUUGCCUAGUGGGUCCCCAGGGCUGGAUGGUGACUGGGAGAGCCGGGAAGAGCUACGCCUUCGAGAACUAGAGGAGGCCCGGGCCCGGGCGGCCCAGAUGGAGAAGACCAUGCGCUGGUGGUCAGACUGCACAGCCAAUUGGAGGGAGAAGUGGAGCAAGGUGAGAGCUGAACGCAACAAGGCACGGGAAGAGGUGCGCCAACUUCGGCAGAAGCUGGAGGCCUUGACUAAAGAGCUGACGGGGGCCCGGCGGGAGCGGCAGGAGGCCCUGAACCAGAGUGAACAGCUGGGCAAGGAGGUGGCUCGACUUAAGGGGGCCCGGCUACAGGAGGAGGAAGAGGAGGAGAACCACCAGGAGGGAGAGGAGGCUCGUGAGGAGGAGAAAGGCAGGGGCAAGGAGAAGGAGCUGGACAACAGGAUGGCCUCAGAGAAGGAGAGUCAGGGGGUUGGCCUCGAGCAGGAGCCCGUGCGGGAUGUAGGCUUUGAAAAGCCAGCCAAAAAUAAGGAGCUGGAACUGAUGGAGAACCUUCUGAAGAGUAAGCAAGAGGGGCCUGAGAACUGGGAGGCACGAAGCAUGGGGAGUGUCCGUGCUACCUUCAGCCGGCAGGAGCGAAGCCGACUGCUGUGGGAGGAGGUGUCCACCAUCGAGGAGGAUGUCACCAAGGUGACUGCCCUGAAGCUUCGGCUGGAUGAGUCCCAGAAGGUGCUGCUCAAGGAACGAGAGGAUAAGCUGUCACUGAGCAAGAACAUUGAAAAACUGGAAGGGGAGCUCAGCCAGUGGAAGAUCAAAUAUGAGGAGCUAAGCAAAAACAAGCAGGAAGUGCUGAAGCAGCUCAACAUCCUUAAAGAAAUGCACCAGGAUGAACUGGGCCGCAUGUCAGAGGACCUGGAAGAUGAACUUGGGGCUCGGUCCAGCAUGGACAAAAAGAUAGCAGAACUUCGAAGUGAGAUGGAGCGUCUGCAGGCAGAGAAUGCCGCCGAGUGGGGCCGGCGAGAGCGGCUCGAGACAGAGAAGCUCAACCUGGAGAGGGAGAACAAGAAACUUCGAGCCCAGAUUGAGGACCUAGAGGAGGUGCUGGCCCGAAAGCGGCGCCAGACGGCCAGCGCCCUGGACUCGGACCUCAAGGCCAUCCAGGCCGAGCUCUUUGAGAAGAACAAGGAACUGGCAGACCUCAAGCACGUUCACACCAAGCUGAAGAAGCAGUACCAGGAGAAGAUGGCGGAACUGGCCCAUGCGAACCGGCGGGUGGAGCAACACGAGGGGGAAGUCAAGAAGCUGAGGCUGCGGGUGGAGGAACUGAAGAAGGAGCUGGCCCAAGCAGAAGAUGAGCUGGAUGAAGCCCAUAAUCAGGCUCGGAAGCUGCAGAGGUCCCUAGAUGAGCAGAUAGAGCACAGUGAGAAUCUGCAAGUACAGCUGGAGCAUCUGCAGUCGAGGCUCCGCCGGCAGCAGAACACCCCACUCUUUGGAAAGAUCCGGAGUUCUCGGUUUGGGACUGAAGAACCUGGGGAUGGUACAAGUGACGUGGAUGAGGAUGAGGACCUACAGAUCCAAGUCCCUUAGUGCAAGGGAAGGACGAGGGAAGGGCCAGCUUGCCUCAGGGAAUGUUACUUGGGCCAACUCUGGGAACUGCAGCUGUUCCUUUUUAGUGUCGAUAGCCCUGGGCCUGGGCUGUGAGUGCUGGGACAAAGCAGGAAGCUGCUUGGAACUUUGCCCUUACCAGGCUGAGGGUAGGGCGCACCCUACUGAGGACAGGCAAAGGUGAUCCAGUAGACCCACAUGGCCAGGUUUCGUCCCCCUUGUCUCCCAGCCGAUUCCUCCUGCUCCCCUUCCUGUCUCUCCUUUCUCCCCUAGCCUCCACCAUACCCUCAACCUUCUACAAAUUCACAAGGACAUAGUAAGCAUAAGAAAAUGACUUUAUCGGGCCAUUAUGGGAGCUGAGAUCAACCAGGUCCUGCCUAUCCAAUUCCCUAAAAAGGGUCCUUUUUUCCAACCUCUGAUCAAUUCCAUCCUUCUCUGGACUGUUUCCAGCUUCCCCACAUUUCCCUGUGAACAUUAAUUUUUUUAUGGAUGAUCAAAUCCGGAUGGAGGAGAGGAACUGGCCACACAAUGAAUUUGAUGACCAUGAAGCAAGGGAGCCAGUUGCAGAUAUCAGAGUGAGGGGAGGUGGUUAUAUGCAUAGGGAAUAGGUGAUGUUUUCACUGAACUUAAACCUUGCACCAACUUUCAGGACAAAAGGAUGGGGUGGGGCUCUCCCAUUUGGUGAAGAGAAGGAUUUCCUGGCACCUACCCAAGAUCAUCUCCCAGCCAGAAGCUUGGACAGGUCAGCACAGAUACAGUCUGUGGAAACCAUUUCCCUAAGCUUAAUGGGAAGGACAAUAGGAAGGUAUUGGAUAGGGGUGGGGAACCUGUGAC